rnacentral:rRNA from 1 species
AGUGAACGCUGGCGGUAGGCCUAACACAUGCAAGUCGAACGGCAGCACAGUAAGAGCUUGCUCUUACGGGUGGCGAGUGGCGGACGGGUGAGGAAUACAUCGGAAUCUACUUUUUCGUGGGGGAUAACGUAGGGAAACUUACGCUAAUACCGCAUACGACCUACGGGUGAAAGCAGGGGAUCUUCGGACCUUGCGCGAUUGAAUGAGCCGAUGUCGGAUUAGCUAGUUGGCGGGGUAAAGGCCCACCAAGGCGACGAUCCGUAGCUGGUCUGAGAGGAUGAACAGCCACACUGGAACUGAGACACGGUCCAGACUCCUACGGGAGGCAGCAGUGGGGAAUAUUGGACAAUGGGCGCGAGCCUGAUCCAGCCAUACCGCGUGGGUGAAGAAGGCCUUCGGGUUGUAAAGCCCUUUUGUUGGGAAAGAAAAGCAGCAGGUUAAUACCCCGCUGUUCUGACGGUACCCAAAGAAUAAGCACCGGCUAACUUCGUG